AUGUGCUGUUGUACAGUAGAAAGUAAUGAAAUGUCUCGCCUUGUAGAGAACACUGAACUGUGCUGUCCUGUAUGGAGAACUCAACUGCAUUGCCCUGCAUGGGACAUUGAUGUGGUGGGUGGAGGAGAUCGGGCCCUGAACACGAUAGUCUGUGUCGAGUUAUUCUGCCCGCUGCUUGACCGAGCGUGUGUGUGUGUGUGUGUGUGUGUGUGUGUGUGUGUGUGUGUGUGUGUGUGUGUGUGUGUGUUUGUGUGUUUGUGUCUGUUUUCAAGGAGGAGACACGGGGGAACACACUACGGUCAAACUGAUGUUCAAUGUCCCGUUCCCUCGCAGGCCGUCCCUGUGCACUGAUGUGGAGAACCGCACGCGGAGCGAGGGGAGGGGAGGGGAGGGCAGAGAUGAUGAGUCACUAAGGGGACAGGGUAGAUGCGGAGGUUGGGAGGAAGUGGGCUGGACCCUGCUGUGUGCUCCGCAAACAAACACACAGGCCGCACUCACGUACAAGAGUCAAGUGGCAGGCACAGAACUAGCACGAUACUGCUAAAAAUCUCCAACGAACAGGAAAGCAUGAGAGCAAGACAAACCGAAAAAUGUUUGGGGUCAUUCAAACCAAAAAAAGAGCAUCUUUAUUCAAAAAAGGCAGGGAACCGAAUAAGGAUGUGGUCACGCAAACAACAAAGAACAUCUUUAUAACUGAGAGUUUAUCUGUGGUAAGAGCUAUUUCAAUAUGACCGGAGGCUCUGUUUGCUCAGUUUGGUGACCUGGCAAUUUAGUGAGUUUGGCGAAACUGGCAUCCUCACCUGGGAUGCUGACCACCACCUCCCUGGCACUGCCCGCUCCCUCCUCGCCUUCGCCCUCCUUGUGGGCACCGAUCUCGCCGUAGUACAGUGCUAUGGCCAGCUCCAUGACGCGAAUGAACAUGGGCAGCUGCUGGUCAGUCAUGGACAACUUCAGGCUCUCCACCAUGGUCUGGAUCUGUGUGGACACGCACACACACGCACACACACACACACAUACACACACACAGCCGUCAGUCAGCAUGAAGAAACGCAGACAAGCCCCCAACCCCCAUCCCUCAAACCAAAAACCACAGUGGCGGUCCAAAAACGUCCAGACACAACAUUACUGAGAUGUCUCAAAUGUUUCAUCUUAUUACAUGUAUUUCCACUAUCCCACGAGCAGAGGCAUCCUGACAUGAGGAUCCUACUGUGUCCCUAGUAGAAGGGUCGGUAGCAGGCGGCGGUUUCGCUUCGCUCUCAGUCAGGUUGUGUGGGGGCGAAAUUAGUGAAUCCGCAGAGACAAGCGAAAUUGACAGGGCAAAUCCCCAGGUUUAUGAAAAUGAAAACCACGUGAGAAACAAUGAGUUGAGCGUGUGAUGGGUUUGGUAUGUGACAAGAGGCAGGAGUAAAAAUAAAAAUUAAACUCUGACCA
rnacentral:lncRNA from 1 species